rnacentral:rRNA from 1 species
GAUGAACACUGGCGGCGUGCCUCAAACAUGCAAGUCGAGCGGGGCUAUGUAAUAUCGCAAGGUAGAACAUAGCCUAGCGGCGAACGGGUGAGUAACACGUGGGUAACCUGCCUGGAAGACAGGGAUAACGAUUCGAAAGGGUCGCUAAUACCUGAUAAUAUCCUUUCAUCGCAUGGUGAUAGGAAGAAAGGGGAAACCCGCUUUCAGAUGGGCCCGCGUCCCAUCAGCUAGUUGGUAAGGUAAAGGCUUACCAAGGCGACGACGGGUAGCCGGUACUGAGAGGAUGUACGGCCACACUGGGACUGAGAUACGGCCCAGACUCCUACGGGAGGCAGCAGUUGGGAAUCUUAGGCAAUGGACGAAAGUCUGACCUAGCGACGCCGCGUGAGGGAAGAAGGCCUUCGGGUUGUAAACCUCUGUCAUGGGGGAAGAAGUAAGUGACGGUACCCAAGAGGAAGCCCCUGCCUAACUACGUG